rnacentral:lncRNA from 13 species
UCCCAGUUUGAACCUGGGAGGCGAGGUUUCGGUGAGCCAAGGUUGCGCCACUGCACUCCAGCCUGGCCAACAAAAAGAAAAAAAAAAAAGACAAAAAGACUGCAGGUUGGGAGGCCCGAGGCACUGAAUUUCUGCCUUGGUGACUUCUUCUUGCCCCAUGAUGGCUGCUGGGCACUCAGGGAGGGCAUAUCCUUGGCAGGCAUCCUGGGGAAAGGCCAGGAAAGGGGCCAGUGCUGGUCGUCCCCUCCUAGCCUGGGGAGAGUUGUCGAGGUGCGGGAUGCAGGUCCGGUGCUAGCUCAGGUGGGCCAGGUGAGGCAGUGGGGCUGGUGGGCGGAACACACGCCCGGUCCCCUGCCCCUUCCCCAGCGGUCCCUGACCGGGGAGCGGGGUUCUUUGUGGGGCGCCGAUUCCCUCCUCCUCCCCACAGGCACUGGGCCCACUGCUCCAGGCCCUCCCCGGAGGGCGUCUCUGUGGCUGAGCAGGAUUGCGUCGCGGUGGCCGGUGUCCCCUGCAGGAAGCCGUUCUCGCUGGCCGCCGCUUCCACCUGGGAGGGAAGCGCCUGGAUCUUGGGUCCUGGGCCGCCACCUGUGUCCCCAAAGCCCAGCCCCGAGCAGGACCAGAUGUGCUGUAGUGGCUUCCCUCUGUAACAGGGACAGUGGGGUAGAACAGGGUGAGGCCACGGGGCGGGAUGGGAGGUUGGGAUGGGGCAGGGCCGCUGGCACCUGGAGGACACCAGGGGAUGCUGAGUGCUCCUGCCAGCCUGGGCACUGGGCAGGGUUCCAGAAGGCAAAUGGGGCCUUGGGAGCAGUCUGGGCGGCCCUGGCUCUCUACUUCACUUCCGUCUGGCUGAAUGUGACCAUCCCCUUAGUCCCCAGGGCAGGGCGAUCAGCCCGUGUUUUGCAGCAGCACCAGAGUGGCCCAGCCAGGACUCAUCCCCAGGUGCGGGGCUCCCGGCCUCUGUGCCCCAACCCCCACCCCGACUAUGCAAGUCCACUCCCCUACCAUCAGAGCCCCUCCUCUCUUUCUCCCUGGUCUAAGCGGAUCCCUUCUACCCUACCCUUUGCCUGGCUGGGAUCCCUCCAAGCCUCCAAGCCCCACAGCUUCAGAUCAGAGGAGCCGCUGACAAAAACAGCUGGGUCACCGGAGGCAAGUCCCCUCCCCUUCAUUUUCUUCACUGCUGACUGGCAGCCACAGCCAUGGUGGGAGGGGUACCAGAGGACACAGAUGGCCCACGCCGCCUGUAGGAAGGCCAGUGGAGUGCUCUUCCAGCCACUCCAGGACCCUGUAUGCUCCUCCCUGGGGCUGCCAAAGCCAGGUGCACAUGACGGGCCACCCACUGUCCUCAGCCCAGCAUGCCCACUCCUGCUGGCACCAAGCAGGCUGCCUCCCCAAGACACUCAACCAGGGACAGUCAGGAACCCUUCAGCAGAGGCAGACCACAGGCCAGCAGGAGGGCCCAGGCCUUGA